rnacentral:lncRNA from 1 species
UUGGUUUUAUUAAUGGGAUAAUGACCAAGCAAUAAAAUAAUAUACAAAGUGAAACAAAGGAAAGACACACGACAAAAUCUAAGCCUAAAAAGUAAAGUAAAAUUGAAAAGCUAACAGAAACAACUUAAAAAAUCUCAAAUUCCAAAAUCAACAUAGCUUGAAACCCUAAAAUUAGCAGAAACAAAUAGCCAUAUCCUUGCAAACAGACCAAAAUGAUUAAUCUCCCCACAAAACACACCGAAGGGGUUAAGAUAGGGAGGGAGAUUGAGGGAAUCCUUUUCCUAAAUCAUGAAACCCCAAUCCAAAAACCCAACAGAGGAAACUAACUGACAGUGGAUCAAGCCAACGUCGAUCCUCCAUUGCAACUUCCCCAACCUCUAAAAGGGCAUCUUCCACUCAGAACCGAUCAGUUGAAUCUCUUUGACCCAGCGUCGCCAUUGCAUGCGUGACAGAAUUACAUCCUCGGGGCACGGAUUUGAAAUGAAAAAAAACUCAAAAUUUCUCAAAAGAGCUUUCACAUCCUAGGUAAUCUGCCGAAGAGUUAAGUAAUCUUCAUCAUUUUUUUUGCAAUUUCAGUAUUACAAUUUUUAAAUCACUCUCUACGAUGACUCACCGGAAUCCCAUUUCUUGGAUAGACUAUAAACCAUGUAGGACUGCCAUUGCCUUCGCUAUACAAAUUAUAGAAGCCCAAAUAUGGAUAUGAUACCUUAAUCCUAAAAUUUUCCCCAUAUCAUCUCAUAUAAUAAACCCUGAACUCGCUUUAUUUCUUGGUCUGGAGUAACCUGCAUCAACAUUAAUCUUGACCCACAAUGACGGUGGGGGGACCAAUGGACUAUCGCAAGAGGAGAAGGGUGUCUCAACACAGAGCUCAGUCCCCGAUAUUUACUUCCAUAGCUGUGAAUAAAGGUAACAAAUUCAUUUAUGCUCUGCAAAAUUCCCUCAUGGAAAUAUUUUUUUCGUGCAUAACAUAACACCCAAACUAUAAUAGCAGCAAUUUCUUUAUUAUAUGUGGUUGAAUGUUCAAACUUGCCUCGACCACCACUUUAGGCCACUGGAAAGCUAACUUUCCCUAAACCUACUUUGUAAAAUAGCGAUCACGACUAGCAUGAGUGGUUGAUUCAGCUUCCAGCUGACAUCGUAGACAUAACUAUCCUACUGCAAUUCUUUUACAGUAUAAAAUUUGCAUGGUUGGAACAUAAUUUUUAACAAAUUGCCAAAGAAGAAUUUUAAUCUUUAACGCACAGUUUAUGAGCCAUAAUUGCUUAAAGAUAAAACGCUCAGUAAUACUUACAGCACACGGACUUAAUAAAGUUUUAUAACCACUACGUAUUGAAUAUUAGCAUGUAUGCUUACCUAACCAAAAAUGUUUAUCAUUCUGGCUGUUCAUUGAUAAUGAGAUGCUCAUAAUGGUGUUCGCCUCUUCUUUUAUGAAUAGAGAUCUAAUGAGUCUAGUAUCCUAGCUUUUCGCCUCUUGUCGAAUUAAAUCACUGACUCGAUCCAUCCCUGCAACUCAUUAUGUGGUGAUUUUCCCCAUAUCCUUACCUGACAACCAAUAAUCUUCCCAUAUUGACACCAAGUGACCAGAACCAAUCCUCUAUUUUAUCCCCGAUUUCAACAAACCUUUUGUACUCUAAAUACUCCUCUAUGUCAUAGAUGGAUUUGAGCCUAAAUUCGACUCAGGGAAACUUGUGUUUGGGUAAUACUUCCCACAAAUCAAUCUUGUCGAGAGCGAUCCAUAGUUUUCAAGCAGCCUCCAUCCAUGUUUCACUAAAAGAACAAUGUUGAACUUUGCCAAAUCCUGAAAACCCAUCCUCCCCAUCCUCUUUAAAAUAACAUAAUGUCUCCCAGGAACACCAAUGCAACCUUUUCCUUCCUCCAGAUUUUUGCCACAAAAAAUGGGCCAUCAUAGCUUCUAGCUCUCUGAAAAAAAAAUGACAUAGCAAACAUUGGGAUGGCUUGUAAUACUGAAUUUAUAAAAACUUCUCGUCCUCCAAUAGAUAAAAUUUUUGAGCCCCAGCUAUUUAAUCUACUUAUACAUCUCUCCUUUAAUCCCCUAAAAGCCUCCAUUUUGUUCCUUCCUAUGAUCAAUGGGAACCUCAGAUACUUCUCAGGAUUUUGAAUAGAAUGCACCCAUAAAGUGUGACACACCUCCAUUCCUUGAGAGUGGGACACAUUCGAGCUAAAGAAAGCUCUUGAUUUAUCAAAAUUUACCAACUGGCCUGAACUAUCAACAUAUUUCUCCAAAACCCUUUUUAAAGCAAUCGCCCCUUCUAACGACGUCUCCCUAAAAAUCAUAAUAUCAUCAGCAAAUAAUAAAUGAGUAACAGUAGGCGUAUAUCGGUUAAUGCGAAUUCCAUUUAGUCAGCCUUGUAUGGAUGUCGUGUGCAAUAAUGUAGAUAAGCCUUUGCUACAAAUUAGAAAUAGAUAUGGGCUAAAUGGGUCCCCUUGACACAGCCCACGACCCGGUCGGAAAGACUCCCGUACUUUUCCAUUAAGCAUAACCGAGUACGAGACUAACUCCACAAAUUUCAUCACCUUUUCGAUCUACCCAUCUGAAAAACCCAUCUUCCCAAGCAUCCACCUUAAGAAGACCCACUCAACUUUAUCGUAGGCUUUACUCAUAUCUAAUUUUAGAGCAAUAGAUCCCAAUCUUCCAUUCCUCUUAUUCUUUAAGUAGUGUAAUAUCUCGUAAGCCGCUAGAAUAUUAUCUAAUAUAAGCCUUCCAGGUACAAAGGUGUUUUGAGCAUCAUCAACACAUAAGUAAAUCACCGACUUUAAUCUAUUCACAAAAAUUUUUGGGAUAAUUUUGUAGAGAAUAUUACACAAACUUAUCAGUCAUGUUUUAUGGGUUACUAACCUUUUGGAUCAAAACCACUCGGGUCCCAUUUAUCUCUGUAAUGUCCUGCUCAUUGGCCAAAACUUCUAUACAACAUAUAGCCACCUCCACCGCCACAAUGUGCUAAAAUCUCUGAUAAAACACUGCACCGAGUCUAUCCUCCCCUGACAUCUUUAACGAACUUAUGGACUUAACUGCAUCGCAUACCUCUAUAACCGAGAAAUCUCGUAACAAAUUUUCAUUCAUAUUUGUCAAAAUACAAGUCUCAAUACCUUGCAAAACUUCAUCAAAACCCAUCGAGCCCUUCGAAGAAAAGAGAGAGAGAAAAUAAUUUUUGGCAAUCUUCAAUAGAUCCAAAUCUCCCUCAUACAAAGUGCCACUCUCAUCUCUCUUAUUUGGCGUAUGAUUUCUCUUCCUUCUGCGUGAAACAAAAUUAUGAAAAUAUGUAGUAUUUCUGUCAUCGUUUUUCAGCCAGUUGUCCCUUGCCCGUUGUUCCUAAUAAGCCUCCUCCUUAUUAGCCUCCAAAUUUAGAGCUAAUUUCAUGUCUACUGUCUUUCUUAAAAUUUCAUCUAUAAGGUAGGUGUCAUUUAACUACUGGAGUCUUUUCUGUAAAUCAUAUCUUGUUAUUGAACAAUUUUUCCAUAAUGUAUUGAACCAUUUAUCAAGUCCAACUCCUACCUCUCCUAAUCAUUGUGGUACCUCACCAAUAGUGGACUCCCAAAGCCAUCGUUCCUCAAUCUCAAAGGACUCCUUCAUGAUCCAUACAAAAUCAAACUUAAAAUGUGUUACCCAAUUAUUACUCCAUUUUGGACUCGUGUUUAACAAUAAAGGACAGUGAUUAGAAAAAAGAGUGGACCAAAUGUUCCAAACUAUAAUUCGGGAAUCUUACUUUCUAUUCAUCAUUUGCUACACCUCUAUAAAUCUGCUCCCGAAUAUUAUUGUCUUUAAAAUGUCCCCUCUCUCAAGUAUACCACUAACCCCAAUAACCCAAGUUCGUCAUAGAGCAGUCCUCCAAAACCGCCCUGAAGUUUCUCAUUUGCCUUUCUAGACGUGGCAAGUGACCUUUUUUUCAGUCGAGUAUGCAAUCUCAUUAAAAUCUCCUAUUAUCAUCAAAGAAACAUUCGGUAAAUCAUCAACUGUCUUAGUAAAUUCCAUGAUUUCUCUCAAAAUCUCUCCUCAGGCACUCCAUAGAAACCCGUACAACGCCAAGUAUUUUCUUCCCCAUCAUCUUCUAUCAUCACGUCAAUGUGUCUUCCCAAAAAUGAUCACAAAACUACCCUACAAGUUUCUUUCCAACCCAACGCUAGACCACCACUUCGGCCAUUCAAAUCCACAUUUCUUUCUAACUACAACCAUUCGAGAUGCACUCAACUUCGUCUCAAUCAAAAAGACCACAGAUGGAUUUAAGCCUCGCAACAUGUGUCAGAGACGUUGAAUCAUCCGAGGUCUCCUAAAACCUUGGAUAUUCCAACUUAUGAGUUUCAUUAUGUCGGCUGGCCUACUUAUCAAAGCUUGCCGAUAUCAUAGUUUCUGAGUUUUGUGCCAAAAUACCCAUAAUUUCCUUUGAAACAUUUGAAUCCCCAUUCUCUACCUCAUUCAGUUUCGUAUGUGGCCUUUUAAAACCUUCCGAGUGAUGAAUCGGUGUAUCCUCCCCCUUCACAAGCGACAUUUCUUUGUCAUAGUUAACAUUACUGUAAUGACCAUUAAGUUCUAGCCCGUGUCUCCCUUUGGGCCUACAAGCCUCAAUACCAUCUCCUUAUUCAGUUGAAUUUGGGAUACAUUAGAAUUCAAGGCACCCAAAACUCCUUGGUUUAAGGGAUAAGAUUUGAAAGAAUCACCCUUAAUCCCAUCCGCAUUGAUUGUGGAGUUUCUAAAAUUAAUCCCUCUUCCCUCCCUUUCCUCAAUCAACCAUUUUCUCUUCCACAUGGAAGCCCUCUACGACAGAGCGUGUAAAGAAAUAUCCCACAGAAAAACAAUCUCAUGCUUCGGUGUUGUAGCCUGCAAUGGACAGAAACUUUUCCCAUGGAUUAACUUCCCACACAAAAAACAAAAUAAAGAUAGUUUCUCAUAAGCGAAAUGAGCUUAUGCACAUGUACAAUUUGGAAGCAUGAAUCUCCUCUUUCUGCAUAGUAGCUUACGCACAUCCAAUCUCACCCUGAUAUGCAUGGCUUUCUUAUUCCCUACUUGAGGCGUUAUAACAUCAUACUUAAGAAACAUCCCAAUAAACUUUCCUAAAUGUUUUGCAACAAUUUUUGACAUAAAACUAUGUGACAUAUCAUGAGCCAAAACCCAAAAAUUAACCCAAUUUAACUCAACACCCAAGGGGUUCUUUCCCUUCACCAGGCGGUGAAGAAUUAGCAGACAGGAGUUAAAACUCCAAGGUCUAUCCUUCUCAAUUCUAUCCACAUUUGCUUCGAGGUAGAAACGAAAUAACUAGUGACCCUCUUCUAGAUCUGAAAUGGAAAACCCUCCAAUUGAAUGCCAAACAUUUGCAAGAAUCGUCCGAAUUGCUUAGAAGUUUACAACGCUAGAAGUCAAGAAAAUUCCCACAAAACAAUUUUCAUAUGUAAGAUCUUUCUCCACUGAAUCCACUCUUAGUUGGAGUGUAUCCUCCUCCUCAUCUUCUAACGACAGAUCCACUGUCGCUUUCUCCAUUCAAAGUACACACACUUUACCCAAAAAUAGAGAACCCAAAGAAAUCAAAAUCACAAAGACAUGCAAAAAAGCAGAGACUGCUAAAAAGCAGAAAAAUACGUGCCAAAGCGACAAAUAAAAUAUUUUUACAGCAGAAAACAUGGAGUUAUUAAACACUCUAUUAGUAAUAUAUUUAUAUAACUUUUUUCAAAAUAAUGGUUAUUCAUUAAAAAAAAUACUACCCCAAAGAAAAAAGUGAAAAAAAGAAAAGAAAGAACGAAUGCACCAUGCUAUCAGUUAUUCAUCAAAAGAAUAUCGAUACAGACACAUUUGUAAUACAAUUUGGAGGUUGAUGCAACCAAACCAUAUUUUGCAUUAAACUCACAUGAGCGACCACAACACAUGUAGGAAUCCACAUUACAUAAAUCUUAACACGUUGGCCUAUUAUUAUUAUUGUUAUUAUUAUAUUCAUUUCGUAAUUUGAAGUUUUUUAUUUCGUAAUCAUAUCGCAUAAUUUAAAUAUAUGCUUUUAUAAAAAUAAUUUAUAAUAUUCAAAAGUUAAUUAUUUAUACACGAGUUUCAUUUAUUAAAAUUUAAAAAUAGAUGUUUGUCUAUAAUUAAUAUCAAAUCGUGCAAAAAUGAUUGUUCAUGCACCUUGGGCCUAGGUUUUAAAUUCACAUGUACCUUUUUGUCUAUUAAUUGUAUUCAGAAUCGAUGACACGUUUGAUACGAUGAAUUCUCGAGAACCAUAAUAAUUUAAUUCAUCCACCUAAAUGAUCCCAAAAGUUACACCAAUCCAAUUUUAGGACCCAUUUUUUUAUCUAUUUCUUUUUUAUUAAAAUUUUCUAUUAAUCCCUGUACUUUGUAAAAGUUAUAGAUUUAGUCCUUAUACUUUAAUUUAAUCAUUCUUAGCUCCUAUAUCUUUUAAAAUUUGAAAUUUUAAUCAUCGCCAAAUAAUAAUUGUUAAAUUCAUUUUGUUAAGUUCUGUUAUUUCUAAAAUUUGAUGUGACAAACAUAUCAUCAUAUGUGCAAUACUAUAUGAGUUUGUUAUUUCCACAUGUUACUCACUAAAAAAUUAGUAAUGGAUUAGCAACUUUCAUUUUCCUCUAGAUUGAAAUUUCAAAAUUUGAAAAAUAUAGGGGCUUAGAAUGAUUAAAUUAGCGAAUAUAGACUAAAUUCAUAAUUGUACGCUAAUUGAAUUUAAACAAAUUGAUUUAACUAUUUCUAUUUUGAUCAGGUCUAAAAUUUUAAAUUUUCAAAAGUAUAGGGACUAAAAUUGAACAAUUCAAAAAGUACAAGGACUAAAAUGAUCAAAUAAAAGUAUAUGGACUAAAUCUAUAAAAUUUUCAAAGUAUAGGCACUAAUAGCAAAAUCUAACCUUUCCUUUUUCCUUAAAUAUUAAGAAAAUACUGCUAUUUCUAAAAAAAUAAGGGGCCUUAAAAAAUAAUUUUUUUUUGGUGAAGCCAAAUAAUUUGAUGCCACCAGUUUCCAAUGCGUGCCAGUAUCCUUUUUUUUUAAUUUUUAAAACUAUAAAUAAAAUUUUUCUUAUUGGUGGAGCCAUUCUAAAUGGGGCCAGCACUUUAUUACCCGAUUUUUUAAUUGUGGUUAUUUUAAUUUAAAAAUUUUUAAAAUUAAUAUUUUAUUUGGUGGAGUCAUUCUCUUUGGCGGUGACCAAAUUGGUAUAUAUAACCUCCAAUGGUAAAUCAAUCUAAGCUGAAGGAUUUUUUUUUUUUGCUUAUAUUUUGUUAGAGGAUGGAAAGGGAGAGAGAUGAUGAGUGUUUUUUUUAUGUAUUUGUGUUUUUGUUUAUUUAGUAAAUUUUUUUAAUUUGAAGGUAGUUUUGUUUAACGAUAAUCUAAUGGAGCCCCGACACCGGUAAAUUUAAUGGUUAUUUUUGGUUGCCGAUUGUUGUGCGGAAGCAUGUAAAAGAGUAAAAUUAUUGUACUAAAAAAUCACACUAAGUUCAAUUCCCAGGAAAGAGAGGUGGAUCACAAAGAUCACUUAAGUACCAAGUCUUUCCUAACCAGAAUAUCCCUCAAUCGUAAUUUGAUAGCACAAUAAAUCACUACAAUCACACUCACAAUUCAUGCAGAAUAAUACAAUAAAGAACACAAGAAUUUAACGAGGUUCAGCAAAUUUUGCCUAUGUCCUCGGGCACUACCAAAUAUAUUUCACUCCAAAAUACAAGUGAGAAUUUACAAAGAGGGAGAGAGAAAACAAUGCCUUAAGUAGAGAAUGACAAAUUUGGGAUGAUGAUGAAGAGAAAUGGUUCAGGGAUCAAAAUUGCAAUUAUCUUAUGUCAAAUCUCAAUCCCACUUUUGGUGCCUUAAAUCUCAGAUUUUGAUACUCAUAUCUUUCUGAUACCUAUAUCUUUCUGAUACUCAUAUCUUUGACUUUCUAUAAAUAUGGAUGAUUUCCAAUACGGUAAUUUAUUCGUAACGAGUUCAAAUUGAUUAUGUAAGUCUUUUCGUUGGUUGUGGUAGGACAAUAACGGGUUCAAAUUGGUUAUGCAAUCAAUGAGUAGAUUAUUCGGGAUUCCCUGGGUCAAUGAGAUGUUUGAAGGUUUCAAGGAAUCCCAAAUCGAACCGCACAAGUGAGAUCAUUAAUAUUAACCGCGCGGUUAAACAAUUUAUUUUUCAAUUUGUAAGACACAAUGAUGUCGGUCUUGAACAAAAUCAUUUAAUUAUGUUUUGUUUGUAAGACACAAUGUUGUCGGUCUUGAACAAAUUCGCUUAAGUUUUUUUAUAGUAUUGAGAAAGUUGCUCGUAUUGUAAAACUAUAUAUUGUAACUCAAGGGAAACUAUUUUAGAAUGUUUGAAAUGUAAAUUUAUAUUUUGUAAAAUAUAAUUUUUGAAUUAUAUACAUUUAUUUUGUAAAAUAAAAUUUUCAUUAAAUCAUUUAUGUAAUGUGAAAUCAAGAAAAUCAAAGGGACAUUUUUAAAGAAAGACUGAUAAGGGACAUUUUUAAUAGAAAUCAAGAAACAAAGGGCCAAAAAAUAAAGAAAGUUUAGAAAAAAAAGAAAAAAAAAGGAAAGUGGGAAAUUGAAUUGGCAAGAAAAAAUGGUAAAAGGGUUUAUUUGUAAAAAAAAAAUAAACUAGGACAUUUUUAAAAGAAAAAAUGGAA